rnacentral:rRNA from 1 species
CAGGACGAACGCUGGCGGCGUGCCUAAUACAUGCAAGUCGAACGGUCUUUUCUAUGGAAGCUUGCUUCCACUGAGAAGAUAGUGGCGAACGGGUGAGUAACACGUGGGUAACCUGCCCAUAAGAGGGGGAUAACAUCCGGAAACGGGUGCUAAUACCGCAUAGUUUUCUUGAUCGCAUGAUCGGGAAAGGAAAGACGGCCUUUGUGCUGUCGCUUAUGGAUGGACCCGCGGCGUAUUAGUUAGUUGGUGAGGUAACGGCUCACCAAGACGAUGAUACGUAGCCGACCUGAGAGGGUGAUCGGCCACAUUGGGACUGAGACACGGCCCAAACUCCUACGGGAGGCAGCAGUAGGGAAUCUUCCGCAAUGGACGAAAGUCUGACGGAGCAACGCCGCGUGAGUGAAGAAAGGUUUUCGGAUCGUAAAACUCUGUUGUCAGAGAAGAACAAGUUGGAGAGUAACUGCUCCAGCCUUGACGGUAUCUGACCAGAAAGCCACGGCUAACUACGUGCCAGCAGCCGC